CAGUGCAUUCAGUUCGAUCUAAUCUAAUUUUUCGGCUUGCACCGAAAUUUGCACAACCCUACAAAUACAACGUUUGUUAAUUUCUUGAUUGUUGUUUUUAUUAGUCCGGCUCUACUUCCACGACUGUUUCAUGAGCGGCUGCGACGCCUCCGUCCUGCUCUCCUCCACCCCCUUCAACAAGGCCAAGCGCGACGCCGACAUUAACCUCUCCCUCCCCGGCGAAGGCUUCGACCUCGUCGUCAGCGCCAAGACCCCCCUCGAGCUCGCCUGCCCCGGCGUCGUCUCAUGCGCCGACAUCCUAGCCGUCGCCGCCCGCGAUCUCGUCACCAUGGUCGGCGGCCCUUACUACGACGUCAAGCUUGGCCGGAAAGACGGGUUGGUCACUAAAGCCGCCCUCGUCGAAGGCAACCUUCCCAGACCCACAAUGUCGGUCACCGGACUCAUCAAGCUUUUCGCGGCCAAGGGCUUCACCGUCCGGGAAAUGGUGGCCCUGGCCGGCGCUCAUACGAUUGGGUUUUCGCACUGCAAGGAAUUCAGCCGAAACAUCUACAAUUACAGCCCGAACUCGGCCUCCGACCCGAGCUACAAUCUCCGAUACGCCAGCGGGUUGAGACAAGCGUGCGCUGAUUACCAGAAGAAUCCGACAUUGUCGGUGUUCAACAACAUUAUGACGCCUAUGGUUGCUCUGUGUUUCUAUGGUUGUGGUGAAUAUUCCUACGCGUUGGUAAUCUCACCUACCACUUGGAUCACCUGAGAGAUCGACACGUGGCAAGUCAAUACUCCGGAACGGAGCCCGAGAAAUCCGGGUCGAACCACAAGACCCGUUCUAGUUUGACCGGGAUUCUCGGGAGUCAUGCCCGCUCAUCUCGGGUACCUCAAAACGGGUUCGCCUAUAAAAGACAAAGACUCUCGUCAGGUAUAUUCAAACUCUACAGCUCUCUCAUUUAUUACUACUUGCAUUUACUCUACUGAUUUGAGCGUCGGAGUCCACCCCGGGAGAUCCAAGCCCCGGCCCUCUAUUGUCUUGCAGAUUCUACACCCGAGGUCCGACAUCCCCAAAUCCAAGGUUCCAUUCCCGAGAUCUAGUUGCAAAGGUGGCACGUGGUGGUCGGUCCCAAAAACCAUCAUCAAUAUCUUUGUUUUAUGGAACUAUUUCAAGUUUUAUUUGGAUUUCCCCUUGAAGAUUGAAGUUUGAAGUAAAAUGUACGUGUUUAGUGCUAUAACAAAAUUAAUUCGAGUUCCAAGAUAUUGGGAUGCUAUUUUCUUGUUAUAUUAUGUUCAGACAUAAUGACAAUCCAUUUCUUCUUCCUGGUUAAAAAUAAAGGGAGCUGGAUGGAAAUUGGCAACAGCAUCAGCCAUUUUGGAAUCAUGAGUGCCCAAGUUGUGUUUGUCCUAUUGCUUUUUGCCCUCACAAAUGUGUACACCAAAGAUAUCCAAACUAGAUCGGCAGAGAAAUUUCCCCUUAAAGCCAUGUAACUCAUUAUAUUCAUUUGAAUUUUGUU